GGAGCUCGCUUCUUUGGUAGUCGGUUAAAUCGGUCUUUGAAAAGUCGGUCUUUGUUAGUCGGUCUUUGAAAAUACGGAUGGAUUGCCAACUCAAACAAGCGAAAUGAAGUAUGCAGGCCAAUCGGUCAGUUAGAGAUGAUCUCAAUCUCCAGAUGGGGGACCAGCAAGGCCUGGUUUGCUGAGAUCAGGCUGAGCCAGGACACCAAGCUCCAGGACAGACUUCUUAGGUGUCUGGUUGUAAGGGUGCCAAGGACCUGAAGUCAGUGUGGCAGACGCUACCUUGCAUCCUGUCAAACCGGCUUGACAUCGCCACAACUUGGACUGGUGCAGGGGAUAAGGAAUGUUUCAAUUACUUGUUUCUAAAGAUUAAUUCUUUAAAGUUUUGAUACAAAAAAAAAGUGUUAAAGUACCUUGGUUUUUAAUUGUGUAAGACCUUGUGCAAUUCAAAUGUAACUCAAUGUUCUAUGUGUACAGGAACCAUUCGUAAGAAUCCUGCAACCUGG